rnacentral:rRNA from 1 species
CCUACGGGAGGCUGCAGUGGGGAAUAUUGGACAAUGGGCGAAAGCCUGAUCCAGCCAUGCCGCGUGUGUGAAGAAGGCCUUCGGGUUGUAAAGCACUUUCAGUGGGGAAGAAAGCCUUGGGGCUAAUACCCUCGAGGAAGGACAUCACCCACAGAAGAAGCACCGGCUAACUCCGUGCCAGCAGCCGCGGUAAUACGGAGGGUGCGAGCGUUAAUCGGAAUUACUGGGCGUAAAGCGCGCGUAGGCGGUCUGAUAAGCCGGUUGUGAAAGCCCCGGGCUCAACCUGGGAACGACAUCCGGAACUGUCAGGCUAGAGUGCAGGAGAGGAAGGUAGAAUUCCCGGUGUAGCGGUGAAAUGCGUAGAGAUCGGGAGGAAUACCAGUGGCGAAGGCGGCCUUCUGGACUGACACUGACGCUGAGGUGCGAAAGCGUGGGUAGCAAACAGGAUUAGAUACCCGAGUAGUC